rnacentral:rRNA from 1 species
AGGCAAUACCGCGAGGUGGAGCAAAUCCCUAAAAGCCAUCCCAGUUCGGAUCGCAGGCUGCAACCCGCCUGCGUGAAGUUGGAAUCGCUAGUAAUCGCGGAUCAGCAUGCCGCGGUGAAUACGUUCCCGGGCCUUGUACACACCGCCCGUCACACCAUGAGAGUCGGGAACACCCGAAGUCCGUAGCCUAACUGCAAAGGGGGCGCGGCCGAAGGUGGGUUCGAUAAUUGGGGUGAAGUCGUAACAAGGUAUC